GAACGAACGCUGGCGGCGUGCCUAACACAUGCAAGUCGAACGAGAAAGUUUCCUUCGGGAAACCAGUAAAGUGGCGCAAGGGUGAGUAACACGUGAAUAAUCUGCCUAUGAAUUCGGGAUAACUCGACGAAAGUUGCGCUAAUACCGGAUAAGACCACGUCUCUUAUGUGAUGUGGCCAAAGGAGUCUCAAACUCCGUUUAUAGAUGAGUUCGCGGACCAUUAGCUUGUUGGCGGGAUAAUAGCCCACCAAGGCUACGAUGGUUAGCCGGCCUGAGAGGGUGAUCGGCCACACUGGAACUGAGACACGGUCCAGACUCCUACGGGAGGCAGCAGUGGGGAAUAUUGCGCAAUGGGCGAAAGCCUGACGCAGCAACGCCGCGUGAGGGAUGAAGGAUUUUGGUUCGUAAACCUCUGUCAAGUGGGAAGAAUAAUGACGGUACCACUAAAGGAAGCCCCGGCUAACUCCGUGCCAGCAGCCGCGGUAAUACGGAGGGGGCAAGCGUUGUUCGGAAUUAUUGGGCGUAAAGAGUAUGUAGGCGGCUGGAUAAGUCAGACGUGUAAGCCCAGGGCUCAACCCUGGAAUUGCGUUUGAAACUAUUCAGCUUGAGUAUAGGAGAGGAAAGUGGAAUUUCAGGUGUAGCGGUGAAAUGCGUAGAUAUCUGAAGGAACAUCAAUGGCGAAGGCAGCUUUCUGGACUAAUACUGACACUGAGGUACGAAAGCGUGGGUAGCAAACAGGAUUAGAUACCCUGGUAGUCCACGCCGUAAACGAUGACAACUAGCCGUUGGGGAGGGUUUACCUCUUAGUGGCGAAGCUAACGCGUUAAGUUGUCCGCCUGGGGAGUACGGCCGCAAGGUUAAAACUCAAAGGAAUUGACGGGGACCCGCACAAGCGGUGGAGCAUGUGGUUUAAUUCGAUGCAACGCGAAGAACCUUACCUGGUCUUGACAUACACGGAACUUUCCAGAGAUGGAUUGGUGCCUUCGGGAACCGUGAUACAGGUGCUGCAUGGCUGUCGUCAGCUCGUGUCGUGAGAUGUUGGGUUAAGUCCCGUAACGAGCGCAACCCUUAUCCUUAGUUGCCAUCAGUUCGGCUGGGCACUCUAGGGAAACUGCCGGUGACAAGCCGGAGGAAGGCGGGGAUGACGUCAAGUCCUCAUGGCCCUUAUAGGCUGGGCUACACACGUGCUACAAUGGCGGUGACAGUGGGCGGCGACCCCGCGAGGGUGAGCUAAUCCCCAAAAACCGUCUCAGUUCGGAUUGUACUCUGCAACUCGAGUGCAUGAAGUUGGAAUCGCUAGUAAUCGCGGAUCAGCAUGCCACGGUGAAUACGUUCCCGGGUCUUGUACACACCGC
rnacentral:rRNA from 1 species